AAUCUUGAAUAACUCCGCAAACCACAACUUAAUUGUAUGGUGUGUUCGUCUUGAGGUAUGUGUAUUACCUGAGAUGAAAGGGUGUGAGCAAUAGGAAAGAAGAAGAGGAAGAGAAAGCUCGCCCCCCUUCAGGGGCAUGGUGAGGCAUCACAGCUGCACAGAGGCUGCGUGUGCCUGUGAGUUCUUUGAAUGGAACGCGCGUGUCUGGCGCUCACAGAAAAAAAGUGUGUGGAGCAAUGUGAACUGAACUAGCAAAAACCACAGCUUGCAGUAACAGUUCCUACAUAUACGUGGGGCUAUAUUCAGCGAUAUAGUGACUGCGGAAGCGCGCAGUGAUUAGACCAUGCGCUUGGCUGGUCACAGCAGGAAAACGACAACAGCACAGCACCACAAUAAAGCGAUCUUGAGAUAGAAAAAACACAGAUUACGGCAACUCUAAUAUACACCUCUUAGAUUCACGCAGCGCUACAGUAUAACUGUGGUAUAGUCCCACGAUCAGAUCGCGCUCUUAGCGUGAUCAAAACACCGCAUAACAAUAAAGCAACUACCGAUCCUCUAAGAGUUAUACUCUGCUCAGACUUAAGAGAAUGCCUUUGCCCUAAUGUUUAGUCCUGGUGGUGAGGUCCGGCAUCUUGGGCGUGCGUCAUGUGCGUGCCUGCACUGUUGCGGUCCGAUCCAGGUGUGCAUCGCGGUGAUUGCGUCGUGAUCAGCUGACCUCAUCCUGAGGCGGCAGCGGCGGUGGGCGAGGCAGACUGAUUAAGAUGGCGUUUUUCAAAAUGAGUGGCUGGGAGUAGAUGGGUGAUCAGGUCCGUUCUCUGUGGCCAGGGGCAGAAGGGAAGCUCCAGGUGGACGAAGGGGACGGUGAGGAGAGAAGGGCAGUAGAGAAGGAGAAGGGGAAAGAAGAGAGCAAAGAGCAAGAGAGCGGGGCUUUGGCUUCAAUGCCCUUUUAUCUUCAAGGUUUUGACCCGCCUGGAACAUUCCAGUUCUUGUUUGCUACAGCUGGAGGCAAGUCUGAGCUGAGGCAAAAGCAUGUCUGAGCAAGUGUAAAAGCUGUCUAUCUACAAUUCUAAACCAUAUAUUUCCAAUGCAUUUCUCAGGUGAAAGAAAACAAGAAAAGAGAGGGAUAGAUAAGUGAAGAAAGGUGUGGUUAGAUUUUGGUGGGCAAUUCAUGAAAGAGCUGGCAAGGCAUUGCCAGGUCUCCAAAUGGAGCGUACACACGUUUCAUGUUUCCAUGAAGACAUGGACACUCCUGGAUGUGGUCUUCCAGAUCAGCUUCACUUUCUUACAAGAUGUUUUGCGUACGGGAUGUCCAGCAAGCAAUGUUCGACUUUCCGCAGGCGAUAUCUGCCCUGGCAGCUGAGCGACCCCGACCUCAUUCCAAGGUCAAAGGGCCGACGAGCAAGGACAGAUGUGCCUCAGCCAAUCCUCAAACUGUUUGCCUGAAGCUCCCAGUUCCUCUUUUUUUCAUAACAACAGCAUCGAUAUUCUCACAUGAACCUAAAUUGUUGUUUAAAAACAAUGCAAAUAAAGCACUUUGCAGGCAAAAUGAAGCCAGAAUUCAUCUGACUACUAACAACAUGACUUCCUUCGUUAGUCACUGCCUUUGAUAGCUGCAAACUGUAUUCACCUGAUUGCUCCUGCUGUUGUAAAGUGGUUUUAAGGCCGAACAGCAUCGCAGGAGAGUUCCCGUGUCACUAAACAUCCCUCCCAAAAGCUAAAAUUGACUUUCACACUAUGGUGGUCAAGCGACUGAACACAUUUGCAUUUUUGUAAGUAUUACCUGAAGAAUACAGUGCAAUAAGAUCCACUAACAAGCACCAUGAACUUGUUAGAGCAAUACUGUACAUCGCCUCUGGGCAAGUGGUUGAUGAAUAGAGCAGCAGAGUAGCAGUAUUCUUUAUACUGCAGUUGCAGAUACUGAUGAUGAGAUAUUUGUGAAGUUUGCAGUCCCAAACAAAUUGACCAGAUUGAUUGUAUUUAGUCUAAAACAAGAUAUAUGUCCAGAAAUGCGCUAGGUCGCAUGACGUGACCCUUGGAGACGCCGCAUUAGAGUCGUGCAAUUCUAGUGGGAAGCAAACGCUCAGCAUUGUCUCCCGUCACUUGGUCAUCUGAUCUGUUAGCAACAAUGGAAGUUUUUCAUAGGCAUACGCACACAGGAGGUCGUGGAACGUUUGUCAUAAUAUCCAAUGUCAGGGCUGCUGCAUUGAUAGACUAGCCAGUACUGUGGUGCUGCUCCUUUUCAGCUAAUUGGUAUAUGAAGCUGAUGGUGCUAGUAUGAUAAGAAUUGUUUUAAUUAUGGAAUGUUCAAGACAGAAGGUUUAAAGUUGAUUGUCCCUUUCUUCUGUCAGCUCCAUCUCUCUUUUUUCCCACUUUCCAGCCCCCCGGAAACGGAACCUAAAACAAUGUUAAAAUGCUGGGUCCAUGGCAGUAGGAAGGUAUGUGUUGCUCUCUCAGUGGUGAUACUGUAAGAGCUGGGUCAGAGUGGCAAUGGAAAAAACUACCAGCGUGAUGGCUGCUGCCUCUUUGGACAGCGCUUUAGCACAUGGGGAAGUCAAAUCAGUUAAACCCAGAUACAGUAGCUGGAUUGUUUCUGUUCCCCAUGUAACUAUCCACUGUAUAAAAGGGUUCUGGUAAUAAAUAAUGCAACAGGUAAAGUGUGUCAUUAUGUUUUUGUUGCCCUGAAUGGUUGGAGGGUGAUCCGGAGCUGGCACAAAAGGCGCUUGUACAGAACAUGAGCUAAUAAUUAAUAACCAGAUGACUGAGAGAUGCCAGAAAAACCUUAAAGUUGCAAUAUUGAACAUUUUGGACUGUGCCAUCUGAAGUCUGCUGGUUGUCAUGGUGAUUUGUCAACUUUGUACAUUUUUUAGCACAUUGUUUGGCUUGUACAGACUCAAGGCAUCUGUAAGCUUAAAGGAGACGGAAGUUUGGAGUAAUGUGUCUGUCACUGUAUGUACAGUAAAUAAUGCUGACUGUAAAUAAUUGAGGCCAAAGAUAAAUCUGAACUGAACUGAGAAUUUGGUGUAGAAAGCAAAACAAAUUCAGUUUCUAAACUUGUGUAAAUGUGGUAAAUAAACCUAAG